rnacentral:lncRNA from 10 species
CAGACUUAAGGUGAGAUCUGAGUGACUUUUGAGCAAUGCCAGUGAGUGACACUAAAUUUGACCCCAUUGUCUAUCCCUUUACUAUUAUAAAUAGCAUCAUUCCUUUGGGUCCUGAAGAAGAUUCUUUCUUGAAGCAUGUCCUAUCAGAAAUGUAAGUACUUGAUGGUAGAAGUAAUGUCAAAUGACAGAAACCAACUAAGAACAAGAUUCUUUACUUAAACUGAUGAGAGAGGAGAGGACAGAAAGGGAAGAUGAUGCAGAAUUGAGAAGUACUGAAAACUUCACCUCCUUAGAAAAUGCCAUCUCUGAGCAUGCAGGAAUUUUUUCAGCUACGGAACAAUUAAUGGCAAAUAAGAUUGCAGAAGACACUAGAGAGGCAGAUGAUGCGAAACAGAGUCUUGGGAAGUCAAGAUGGUUUACAUGGAAAGGAAAAGGAUGCAAUACCAUGAACAGUAAUGAAAAUGCAUUUUACUUAAGUUUCUGAAAAUGCUAAAUUGGAACACAAAAUGGAAGACAGUGAUAGUUGAUAAUUGACUCGAUCCUAUAAUAAAAACAAAAUAUAAUCAUCCAAAUAAGGUAACACAGGGAGCAGCAUAAAGAGCUUCAAACAAGCAGAGCUUCCAUUAUAUCAACAUUCUCAUUAUCUCACCUCACACAAGUAGGAGCCAACCCAUUCCCAUUCCCAUUCCUAGCUUCAUUUCCAUCCCUAAGUAACACGGUUUCACGUAGAAAGUGGCAUCCAGUUGCUCUCAGGGAAAAGCCAGGAAUCAUCAAUAGCCAGCAAGCUUUCUGUGGGCUAGCAGGUGCAGUAAUGCUCCCCAGGACCGCAGACACUGCUUAGCUCACUCUCCAUCCCACCUCCAGUUUCUUCUUCCUCUAUGACUCAUGACACAGGUUGGCCUCAGAAAUAUCCAGAGGAACCUUCCGAGAAAAAAAAUCACACCCACUCAAUUUAGCACAAAGCUGUAAAUCCUUAUGGCCUUUGUAAUCCACAUCUCAGGGCAGUGCCUGGUACACAGUGAGAUACUCAAAAUGCUUGUUGAAUUGAUAUUAAUUUAACUGAGUAAUAUUCUUCCUGGUCUGCCUUAUUUUAGCUUCCUAGCUUUAUCUAGUGUCUCUCUCCCACAUAAACUUUUAUUCCAGCUAUCCUAAAUUAUGUAAGCUUUCCUCAAUUUAGUCCUGCUUGCCUUGUUUUAUAUCAUCAUUAAACAUAUUGUAUUCAGCUAGAAUGUUCCUUCCUUUUAUGCCUGGCCAACUUUUACUUUUCCAUAGUGACAUAUCUGAGGUAUCAUCUCUCCUAGGAUGUCUCACCUAACUGACAGUUUGAUUUCAAUGUUUUUCUUCUCCCUUCCCAUCGGACUCUAUAAACACCUCUCUCACUGCCUUCUUCUCACUAAGCCGUCAUCAUUGGUUCAUUUAUUUAUCUGUUUCAUUAUGUUUGAUCCUUCCCUAUGUAGAGACACGUUCACAUUCACUUUUUCAUUGAAAGCAAAAAACGGUGCCUGACAGCACAUAACUGAUAAUAAAUGUCUGUUUUUUAAAAAUGGAAGUUCUUAUUAAAUAAGAUGAGACUAUUAGAUCUACUUUUAGUGCAAUUUGAUUUCCCUACUCAAAAUUAAGUUUUAUAAGCAAAGAUCUUUGGUAUAUUGAUUAAAUAUAUCUAGAAGGAAAUAGAGAAUGUUCUGAAAAAUUUUAUUUCUCUGGUAUUAUUUUGUUGGGAUAUACUAUAAAAUCAAAGAGAAAAUAUUUUAUCUCAUACCUCAAAUGAUUGUGAAUUUAUCCUUUCUUUAAACUGUAAGGAUGAAUUAACAAAAUACCUAAUAUGGGGAUUGUGAAGAACACAUUCAAGCUUCAGAUUGAGGUAUAAAGGCCAUUCAGUGACGACAAAGAAGAAAGGUUAAGAAUGCCAUGUUGGAAGUCCUUUGAAUCUGAGCCCGUUGUGUCUACUGUUCUCCUGAAGCAACUGGGGAUUGUUACAAGUUCUCUCUGAUUCCAAAGCUCCGCAGAUUUGCGUUUUGAGCUCUCCAAGUUUGUUUGAGUAAAUUUCCGAGCCAAACUGGGUUUCGAAGUUGCAACAGAAACUGGACUGGGUUCAGGACUGAAUGGAUUUAAAAUUAACUGGCUUGGACUCAGUUAGAGGCAUCCUAUGUCUCCUUG